UACGGGGGGGGCAAGCGCUAUUCGGAAUUACUGGGCGUAAAGGGCUCGUAGGUGGCCAACUAAGUCAGACGUGAAAUCCCUCGGCUUAACCGGGGAACUGCGUCUGAUACUGGAUGGCUUGAGUUUGGGAGAGGGAUGCGGAAUUCCAGGUGUAGCGGUGAAAUGCGUAGAUAUCUGGAGGAACACCGGUGGCGAAGGCGGCAUCCUGGACCAAUACUGACACUGAGGAGCGAAAGCCAGGGGAGCAAACGGG
rnacentral:rRNA from 1 species